UCGUGUGAAAAUUAGGUAGUGCGCCUUUAAUUUAACCCUCUGAAAACGAAGCCCGCUACAGUGCGUUUUGACAGCUUUACGUUUUUAAAAUCUGUAUAUCUCCGCGACAAUACGUCGCCGAGAUACGUUUAAAAUACUGGAUGAAUCCGGAGGAUUUCCUCUUCCGUUCAUUUCUCUACCGUAAGCUCCUCUGCGAUUCACAGAGAAAGAUAGGGGGACGAACGUGUCGGGUGACGCGGCACCGAGUACUGUGAUUUGCCAAUGCGGUUGUCCGUCAACAUUUUGCGGAGAAGAACAACCAAUGAACACCCAAGAAAUCACAAGGACCUACCCACCUCCCAGGUGGAGCUCAUUAGCAGUCUGUCAGUCAGAGAAGCCAGAGAACACGGCGCGAACGGACUUCACAACAAGGAAGCAGCUGCAGCGACUUUGGCGAGCAGCGCGGAGCCUCAGAGGAGCUGCAGAGCCACGAGGAGGAACACGCAGCCAGAAGAGAUCCACUUGGACCGGAGAGGAUUCACCAGCACCUGCAGUGCAGCCUGCAGAUCCACCUGCAGCCCCACCUGCAGCUCUACCUGUCCGGCCAGCAAUGGUCUCGUGCCCCGGAGGACCAUGACACGAUGACAUGAUGCCAUUAUAGUGAAGCCAUUUUGUAAAUAUUCUGUAUCAAUAUUUGUGUUCUGUUUUCUAUUUCUCAACAUGAAUAUUAUGGAGAAUAUGUUCACUUUUUGUAAUGUAUAAUACAUUUAUUUGAAGAAGAAAAAUGUAAAUGGUCAUUUUUUAUUUGCACACCCCAUGAAACUUCAUCUGCAAUAUUAAGUCAUUUCUCAGUCCCAUCUUUAUCAUUUUGGUGCAUGUGUGACGGACCACAUCAUUUCUACUCAAAACGAUAAUACAAAAUUGGGUUUUUGACAUCUUUACAUGUAUCUAGCAUUGUAUUCAGAUAUUUCACUGCUUUUGUGAACCCAUGACCUUUGGUAAACCAAUUUUAAACACAAACAGUUGGUUCACAUGAGUAAAACAGUUGUUUGUGAUAGUUAUUAAUAUGUGAAAUGCACUCAGCUCUCAAUAGGAAAAGUAGCAAUUGCAAACUUUAUCAAUGUCAUCAAUGCAAAGCUAUUCACUCGUUAAUAAAACAUCAGCUUGA